rnacentral:lncRNA from 1 species
GAUUCGAGGAAAAUUCCCAGGACUUCUUUUUAUUAAGAGAAUUUCAGAACAUAAGAGAGGGACCAGACACCUGCAUUUGUCAGAGAAGGUUUCCAAAUUCAAUUGUUUUUAAAAAAACCCGAGUGUUUAGAAAAGCUGACAUGACAGCGUGGAUGGAGCAGGAGCUGUUUUUUUUUUGUUUUUUUUGUUUUUUUUUUUACACGCAGGGUCGUCUAAGGAGACAGGUCGGAGGCAAUCACUGUUCCCGGAAUGUUUCACAUGUUCGUCUUCCUCUUUCUUAUGGACAACACGCUUCAAAACACGUUUUUUUUUUUUUAAACACAAUUUCAAUGAAAAAAAAAAAGAAAACAAGACCAUGAGACAAAAGCAAAAGGGAACUCACUGCACAUUUAGAGGUCUAAAAGAAUCACCCACAUUAACAUGGCUGAACCGUUAAUAAAACAUGGAUAAAAGGCUGAACUGUCGCAGGAGGAGGAAGGUCUAAUCUGUGGAGAAGGAAGAAAGGGGAGAAGGAGAAGGAGGAGGAGAGGGAUAGAGCAGGGAAAACACAGUAAUACACAACUCACGACAUGGCCAAUCCGGCAGGGACACGCUUUCUACACCAAACAAGCCUUCAACAAUCAUGAAAUGCCAUUUAAAAAAGAUUUUAGUGUGUUCAUCUUGCUUGCAGACACUUGAUAUGACCACUGCAAAUCUGCAAGGUGCUCCAUAAUCAGCUUUGCUUUUUGUGCUAAAAAUCUGUACGGAUACUUAUAAAAUCAUUGAUAAAAAUAUUCCUCUGUUAACAAUACGCCUUGGAGGGAAACCAUGUGAGAGACUUGGGGGGGCUGGCUGGCUGACUGAAAGGGGGGGUUUUGGGUGUGGGAGGGAGGGAGGGGCUUGUAGAGGAGGAAGAGGAGAAGGAGGAGGAAGCUUGGGCAGUGGUGCUACUCGGACUUGGCCUCCUCCUUGGCCUCCUCGGGGGCUGCCUCCACCUGUGGGACAGAGCAGGGAGAGGGAAGGUCAGAACUUUCAGCUAGUUUUAAGCCGAUGCUGUAAAAUAAAAGCAGACAUGUCUGAGCGCCCGCUCACCUCGUUGGUCUUGGCCUCUCCGUUCUCAGAGUGGUUUUCUUCCUUGGCCUCUGCCUCGGCAUUCUCCUUUGCCUUCUUGGUCUUCUUGGAGGUUUUCUUACAAAUACAACUAAAAACUGUUUUUCUUAGUGGGUUCAGUGCAUGUGAAGACGAGUGUCUCCCUUAUGCUCGGCAGUGUAGUAAACACACUGGAACAGAGAGGCGAGUGGUUGAAUGGGGGGAGGGGUGCGGCUAAAGGCAUGAUUGAUAGGCUCUCAGCCAAUCAGGUGACGCCAUUCGGGGCUGCAGAACACUUGGAAUUUUGGAGCCGGUGAUGUUCUGGG